rnacentral:sRNA from 1 species
ACUCCAGGAAAACCCAUGGCCAUGAGGUUGGUCCUGUUUUUUGGUGCCCUUUUUGGGCAUAUCUACUGUCUAGAAACAUUUGUGGGAGACCAAGUUCUUGAGAUUGUACCAAGCAAUGAGGAACAAAUUAAAAAUCUGCUACAAUUGGAGGCUCAAGAACAUCUCCAGCUUGAUUUUUGGAAAUCACCCACCACCCCAGGUGAGACAGCCCACGUCCGAGUUCCCUUCGUCAACGUCCAGGCAGUCAAAGCGUUCUUGGAGUCCCAGGGAAUUGCCUAUUCCAUCAUGAUUGAAGACGUGCAGGUCCUGUUGGACAAAGAGAAUGAAGAAAUGCUUUUUAAUAGGAGAAGAGAACGGAGUGGUAACUUCAAUUUUGGGGCCUACCAUACCCUGGAAGAGAUUUCCCAAGAAAUGGAUAACCUCGUGGCUGAGCACCCUGGUCUAGUGAGCAAAGUGAAUAUUGGCUCUUCUUUUGAGAAUCGGCCUAUGAACGUGCUCAAGUUCAGCACCGGAGGAGACAAGCCAGCUAUCUGGCUGGAUGCUGGGAUCCAUGCUCGAGAGUGGGUUACACAAGCUACGGCACUUUGGACAGCAAAUAAGAUUGCUUCUGAUUAUGGAAAGGACCCAUCCAUCACUUCCAUUCUGGACACCCUGGACAUCUUCCUCCUGCCAGUCACAAACCCUGAUGGAUACGUGUUCUCUCAAACCAAAGUAAGCCUGGAUUUUGUUCCCUUCUUCAACAAGGACCUAAGGAGAUGUGUAGGAACUUCAAAAGCAAAAUAAAAGUACUCAUUCUUUUCUUGAUUUACUCUAAAUGGAAUGUCUAAUUUCUCAGUAGUCACCCGGAAAUGAGGGAUAGAGAAGUGGUUAUAAUCACUUCUUAUUCCAACACAUGAUGUCUUUACAUGUUGCCUCAGCCAGAGCCCAUUUCAGCUGUUAGGCUGGGCUAUUAGAGCUCUGUGUUCACCGUGAGUCAUCUAGGAGAUUUGUUCCAAUUAUCUCGC